UUUAGAGAGGUUAACUUAGGCAGCAGCCAAUGAGAAAGGAAAAAAAAAAAAAAGGCCCAUUGAUUCCUGGCUCCGCCAUGCUCCCAUGGCGGCCUCCAAGCUCGUGAUUCUCUCAAUCUUUCUUGCCCUUAUUUUCUCCCAGAUUCGGGCUGUCGCUUCAAUCCCGGCGGAGGAAGAAGAGCCAGUGAAGUUCCCCCGAUCGGACACCCCUGAUUCUUCCGCUCUGAAGAUCGAGCUGAAUCAGCUCAGGCCUAAGAUCCACUCCCUAGGUUCGUUUCUAUCAUCUUCUGCGAAUUCUAGGGUUUAUUGGACGAAAUUUGUGAUUUUUCAAGUGUUUGUGGAAUUCGAUUUUUUUCCCUCGGUUUUCUGGCCAUCCAAACAGAUUUUACUAAAGUUAGAGAUCCUUUGGUUUUUCAAUUGGGAAGCGCUUUAAUUCCUUUCCAUUUAUAAUUUUGUGUUUAUGUUUUGGCAUCCAAGUAAUACUGCCAAUUAGCUGAGCUCUGGUGCUUACUUGUAAAGCUUUGAUUUUUCAAUUUUUAUAAUUUUAGUCAGAGCAAUAAAGAUGCUUAAUUGUUUAGUUACUUUGUGAGUAGAAACAACAUCGAUGUUAGUCGAAUUUGAUUUCGAGCUUUUUUUGUGUGUUUUGAGUGUUGUUUGGGUUUUCCUGGCUGGUGGUUUGUGUUUCUUGGAUGUCGAAGAAUUCGACGCCAGUGAGAAGAUUAAGGCACUGAAAAAGAAGAAUGAGCUUAUAGAAGAGGAGGAGGAAGUAAUUCAAGGGAACUCGGAUAGCAUUUCUUCGUUGCAGAGUGAAAUCGAGUCUCUCCAGUACGUGCACGGUUAGGGUUUGUGACAGUGUAAGAAAUAUAUUUAGUUGGAGCGGAAGACAACGAUUGGCUCUUUAGUCAACUAGUUCGAGUUCUUCUAGUGUGUCAACUAUCAUAGAGUGUGGUUGAGAUUUCAUGGAACUUGAUGGGCUCAUUGUGGGGCGUGUCCUUCUCGUUUGACGCAUGUCUCGAAUCGUUUAUAAAGAUAAAAUUAGUAUUAAUAGAGGCUCAAUGAGUCUUUACGGCUCAUCUCGGUGAGUGAUUUUAAUUUAUGUGAUAUCGGUGAUUACCUUGUUUUCGUAAUUGUUAUCCUGUGUGAAUAUGACUUGGUUUUAUAAAUAUGUUUUCUAUUGAAUUGUUAUUUUUAAUGCUUAGCCAUUGAUUUAAGUUUAUGAAAUGAGAUUUGACGUGUAUAUAUUGAAAUAUGGUUUGAUUUGUUUGAUUGGCAUGUUGUGAUGAAAUGUGAGGGCUAGUGGUGGAUCAUUAAACCAUUGGGAUGGGGAUUUGUUGCUUCGUUUUAAAUUUAGUAUUUGUGCCUUAUUUCCCUUGGUUGAGCUUUGGUAAAUUAAGUAACUUGUGUUUGUCUCAUUUACUUGAGCCGUUGUACAUAUGGUUGUUGACCUUCCACGAUUCCGUUGAGUGAUGGUACGAAAUCGUAUCCACUCAGAUUCCGUUGAAAGAUGGUUCGGAAUUCCUUCUAUUCCGCGAUUCCGUUGAGUGAUGGUCCGGAAUCGUAUCCACUCGGAUUCUGUUGAGAGAUGGUCCGAAGUCCCUCAUACUCCGCAAUUCCUUUGAGUGAUGGUCUGGGAUCAUAUCCACCUUGGGUUUCAUUGAAUUUGGAUUAAGAUAACUUCAAAGAUGUAGGCUUCGGCCGAACUGUGUCACUUUAGCCUACUUUGUAUUAUUGUCGCUCUAGCCUACUAUGUCGCUCUAGCCUACUUUUCAUUGUGUUGUAUAAGAUUAUGGUUGUGAGAUGUGAUUUGUUUUAGACGAACCGUUGGAUGUUUGUGUGACUCCUUCAUAGUUUUCAAAUGUUUGGUAUUGAUUCUUUACAAAUGAUUUA